rnacentral:lncRNA from 10 species
GGUAACUUCUCACUGUCUCCCUCUGCUCAGAAUGAAGGUGUUUAGACCAGAUGUUUUUGCGCAGAUAAAGGAACCUGCACAGGGUCUUGCUUGGGCAUGCCCGCAACAGACUGGAGACCGUCAUGCACUGGAGGAAUGGGAUGGAGGCACCAGGAAUUUGGGCCUUAGGCAGGGAAGGAGCUUGGCCUCUUCAGCUCAUAUAUGGUGGCCUGGUAUUCAAUUUGUGAGGUGGAAGCCUCCUGGUCACGUGUCCGAAAUUGGUGGGUUCUUGGUCUCACUGACUUCAAGAAUGAAGCCGUGGACCCUCAUGGUGAGUGUUACAGUUCUUAAAGAUGGUGUGUCCGCAGUUUGUUCCUUCUGAUGUUCGGACUUGUU